CUGAGAAUGAUUCUUCGGAUGAAGUCUCUUGUGACUGAGUGGCGGACGGGUGAGUAACGCGUGGGUAACCUGCCUCACACAGGGGGAUAACAGUUGGAAACGACCGCUAAUACCGCAUAACCCGCUGGUGCCGCAUGGCACUGACGGAAAAGAUUUAUCGGUGUGAGAUGGACCCGCGUCUGAUUAGCCAGUUGGCAGGGUAACGGCCUACCAAAGCGACGAUCAGUAGCCGGCCUGAGAGGGUGAACGGCCACAUUGGGACUGAGACACGGCCCAGACUCCUGCGGGAGGCAGCAGUGGGGAAUAUUGCACAAUGGGGGAAACCCUGAUGCAGCGACGCCGCGUGAGUGAAGAAGUAUUUCGGUAUGUAAAGCUCUAUCAGCAGGGAAGAAAAUGACGGUACCUGAUUAAGAAGCCCCGGCUAACUACGUGCCAGCAGCCGCGGUAAUACGUAGGGGGCAAGCGUUAUCCGGAUUUACUGGGUGUAAAGGGAGCGUAGACGGUGAUGCAAGUCAGAAGUGAAAGCCCGGGGCUCAACUCCGGGACUGCUUUUGAAACUGUGUGACUGGAGUGCAGGAGAGGUAAGCGGAAUUCCUGGUGUAGCGGUGAAAUGCGUAGAUAUCAGGAGGAACACCAGUGGCGAAGGCGGCUUACUGGACUGUAACUGACGUUGAGGCUCGAAAGCGUGGGGAGCAAACAGGAUUAGAUACCCUGGUAGUCCACGCCGUNAACGAUGAAUAUUAGGUGUCGG
rnacentral:rRNA from 1 species